rnacentral:rRNA from 1 species
AUUGAACGCUGGCGGAAUGCUUUACACAUGCAAGUCGAACGGCAGCACGGACUUCGGUCUGGUGGCGAGUGGCGAACGGGUGAGUAACAUAUCGGAACGUAUCCAAUAAUGGGGGAUAACGAGUCGAAAGAUUCGCUAAUACCGCAUACGCCCUACGGGGGAAAGCUGGGGACCUUCGGGCCUGGCGUUAAUGGAGCGGCCGAUAUCUGAUUAGCUAGUUGGUGAGGUAAAGGCUCACCAAGGCGACGAUCAGUAGCUGGUCUGAGAGGACGACCAGCCACACUGGAACUGGGACACGGUCCAGACUCCUACGGGAGGCAGCAGUGGGGAAUUUUGGAAAAUGGGCGCAAGCCUGAUCCAGCCAUUCCGCGUGAGUGAAGAAGGCCUUCGGGUUGUAAAGCUCUUUCGCAAGGGAAGAAAACUUAGCCACUAACAUUGGUUGAGGUUGACGGUACCUUGAUAAGAAGCACCGGCUAACUACGUGCCAGCCGCCGCCGUAA